CAGCGCCGUGGCCAGAGAGCCGCCACCGAACCGGACCGAAUCUGAAUCUUGCGCUCAUGCCUUCGGUUAGCGGUGGAUUCCUUUGGCCCCAUGGUGGAUCGCUCAGCUGAAUCAUCCACCCCUGCGGCCAUGCUUCCAAUUCGGUCGGAGUCUGAUGAGGCGCAGGUGCAGGUUAUUUCCCAGCAUAUUUGGCCUAGGAUUUGUCCAUGGCGUUCCCAAAACAUCCGUCUUUGAUUUGUUUGCAUCUAUGGAUGGAGCUGAUUAGAUGAAGUUCUAGGUCAAGCACACGUCAAAAGAAAUGAACAUAUCUGUAAUGUGACAUUCUGCUCUUCAGCAUGCCCUAAUUAUUUUAGUUAUAGGAAUAACACAUUAACACUUCUAUUUUUUUUCCUUGGGCAGUUGGGCUCAUGGUUAUUUGGAAAGAUGAAAUGAAUUUCAU